CGAAAGCCUGACGGAGCAAUACCGCGUGAGGGAGGAAGGCUCUUGGGUCGUAAACCUCUUUUCUCAGGGAAGAACACAAUGACGGUACCUGAGGAAUAAGCAUCGGCUAACUCCGUGCCAGCAGCCGCGGUAAUACGGAGGAUGCAAGCGUUAUCCGGAAUGAUUGGGCGUAAAGCGUCCGCAGGUGGCUAUGUAAGUCUGCUGUUAAAGAGUGAGGCUCAACCUCAUAAGAGCAGUGGAAACUACAAGGCUAGAGUACGUUCGGGGCAGAGGGAAUUCCUGGUGUAGCGGUGAAAUGCGUAGAGAUCAGGAAGAACACCGGUGGCGAAGGCGCUCUGCUAGGCCGUAACUGACACUGAGGGACGAAAGCUAGGGGAGCG
rnacentral:rRNA from 1 species